AUGAACGCUGGCGGCGUGCCUAAUACAUGCAAGUCGAGCGAACGGACGAGAAGCUUGCUUUUCUGAUGUUAGCGGCGGACGGGUGAGUAACACGUGGAUAACCUACCUAUAAGACUGGGAUAACUUCGGGAAACCGGAGCUAAUACCGGAUAAUAUUUUGAACCGCAUGGUUCAAAAGUGAAAGACGGUCUUGCUGUCACUUAUAGAUGGAUCCGCGCUGCAUUAGCUAGUUGGUAAGGUAACGGCUUACCAAGGCAACGAUGCAUAGCCGACCUGAGAGGGUGAUCGGCCACACUGGAACUGAGACACGGUCCAGACUCCUACGGGAGGCAGCAGGAGGGAAUCUUCCGCAAUGGGCGAAAGCCUGACGGAGCAACGCCGCGUGAGUGAUGAAGGUCUUCGGAUCGUAAAACUCUGUUAUUAGGGAAGAACAUAUGUGUAAGUAACUGUGCACAUCUGGACGGUACCUAAUCAGAAAGCCACGGCUAACUACGU
rnacentral:rRNA from 1 species